rnacentral:rRNA from 1 species
UACAGAGGUCUCAAGCGUUGUUCGGAUUCAUUGGGCGUAAAGGGUGCGUAGGCGGCGCGGUAAGUCGGGUGUGAAAUCUCGGAGCUUAACUCCGAAACUGCAUUCGAUACUGCCGUGCUUGAGGACUGGAGAGGAGAGUGGAAUUCCUGGUGUAGCGGUGAAAUGCGCAGAUAUCAGGAAGAACACCAAUGGCGAAGGCAGCUCUCUGGGACGGUACUGACACUGGAGACGCGAAAGCGUGGGGAGCCGAACAGG